UACGGAGGGUGCAAACGUUGCUCGGAAUCAUUGGGCGUAAAGAGCGCGUAGGCGGUCCGAUAAGUCGGCUGUGAAAGUCAGGGGCUCAACCCUUGAAAGCCGGCCGAUACUGUCGGACUAGAGUCCGGAAGAGGCAAGUGGAAUUCCCGGUGUAGCGGUGAAAUGCGCAGAUAUCGGGAGGAACACCAAUGGCGAAGGCAGCUUGCUGGGACGGUACUGACGCUGAGGCGCGAAAGCGUGGGGAGCAAACAGG
rnacentral:rRNA from 1 species